rnacentral:lncRNA from 1 species
GGAACUCAGUGAGAGAUCCAGAGGGAAUGAGUCCUCUGGAUAAGAGAAAGGCGCAUUCCACUGCCAGCUGUGACAGAGACAGGUGUGUGGCAGACAAUCUCCAGGGAAGAUGUCUCCAACUGCUUGGGCUUCAUCAUCCAAAGGUUCAACUAUGGGAUUUAUCUUUGACUCCAAGUAUCAUCAGGGUGGCAUAUGGUGAUGGAUUCUGCCAGAUCCGUGCUAUUUCACUGACUUGUUGGGUACCAGCCCUCCCAGCCUAAGACUAAGCUUGAUCACCCUUGAUCAAAUACAUCUCAUUUUUCAAAACCAACUUUAAAAUCUGUUCUGAGGGAAGCAUAUGCUACUCAUUCAUCUGAGAUCUAUUAUGAGAAACUUUUUUCUUUUUUGAGAAGGCUAAUGUGCCAUAGCAAAGAAGACAAAUUACAAAUUCAUUAGUUCAUUAGCG